UACGAAGGGGGCUAGCGUUGCUCGGAAUCACUGGGCGUAAAGGGUGCGUAGGCGGGUCUUUAAGUCAGGGGUGAAAUCCUGGAGCUCAACUCCAGAACUGCCUUUGAUACUGAAGAUCUUGAGUGCGGGAGAGGUGAGUGGAACUGCGAGUGUAGAGGUGAAAUUCGUAGAUAUUCGCAAGAACACCAGUGGCGAAGGCGGCUCACUGGCCCGAUACUGACGCUGGAGGCACGAAAGCGUGGGGAGCAAACAGGG
rnacentral:rRNA from 1 species